AUGAACGCUAGCUACAGGCUUAACACAUGCAAGUCGAGGGGCAGCAUGGUCUUAGCUUGCUAAGGCCGAUGGCGACCGGCGCACGGGUGAGUAACGCGUAUCCAACCUGCCUUACACUCUUGGACAGCCUUCUGAAAGGGAGAUUAAUACAAGAUGUUAUCAUGAGUAAGCAUUUUCGCAUGAUUAAAGGUUUACCGGUGUAAGAUGGGGAUGCGUUCCAUUAGAUAGUAGGCGGGGUAACGGCCCACCUAGUCUUCGAUGGAUAGGGGUUCUGAGAGGAAGGUCCCCCACAUUGGAACUGAGACACGGUCCAAACUCCUACGGGAGGCAGCAGUGAGGAAUAUUGGUCAAUGGACGAGAGUCUGAACCAGCCAAGUAGCGUGAAGGAUGAAGGUUCUAUGGAUUGUAAACUUCUUUUAUACGGGAAUAAACGGAUCCACGUGUGGAUUUUUGCAUGUACCGUAUGAAUAAGGAUCGGCUAACUCCGUGCCAGCAGCCGCGGUAAUACGGAGGAUCCGAGCGUUAUCCGGAUUUAUUGGGUUUAAAGGGAGCGUAGAUGGGUUGUUAAGUCAGUUGUGAAAGUUUGCGGCUCAACCGUAAAAUUGCAAUUGAUACUGGCAGUCUUGAGUACAGUUGAGGUAGGCGGAAUUCGUGGUGUAGCGGUGAAAUGCUUAGAUAUCACGAAGAACUCCGAUUGCGAAGGCAGCUUACUAACCUGUAACUGACAUUGAUGCUCGAAAGUGUGGGUAUCAAACAGGAUUAGAUACCCUGGUAGUCCACACGGUAAACGAUGAAUACUCGCUGUAGGCGAUAUACAGUCUGCGGCCAAGCGAAAGCAUUAAGUAUUCCACCUGGGGAGUACGCCGGCAACGGUGAAACUCAAAGGAAUUGACGGGGGCCCGCACAAGCAGUGGAGUAUGUGGUUUAAUUCGAAGCAACGCGAAGAACCUUACCAGGGCUUGACAUAUACAGGAAUAUAUUAGAGAUAGUAUAGCUCUUCGGAGCCUGUAUACAGGUGGUGCAUGGUUGUCGUCAGCUCGUGUCGUGAGAUGUUGGGUUAAGUCCCGCAACGAGCGCAACCCCUAUUUCUAGUUGCCAGCACGUUAAGGUGGGAACUCUAGAGAGACUGCCGGUGAUAAAUCGGAGGAAGGUGGGGACGACGUCAAAUCAUCAUGCCCUUUAUGUCCUGGGCUACACACGUACUACAAUGGCGUCUACAAAGAGCGGCAAGCCUGUGAAGGCAAGCGAAUCUCAUAAAGGACGUCUCAGUUCGGAUUGAAGUCUGCAACCCGACUUCAUGAAGCUGGAUUCGCUAGUAAUCGCGCAUCAGCCACGGCGCGGUGAAUACGUUCCCGGGCCUUGUACACACCGCCCGUCAAGCCAUGGGAGCCGGGGGUACCUGAAGUGCGUAACCGCAAGGAGCGCCCUAGGGUAAAACUGGUGACUGGGGCU
rnacentral:rRNA from 1 species